rnacentral:rRNA from 1 species
CCUACGGGGUGCUGCAGUGGGCAAUAUUGGACAAUGGGCGAAAGCCUGAUCCAGCCAUGCCGCGUGUGUGAAGAAGGCCUUCGGGUUGUAAAGCACUUUCAGUGGGGAAGAAAGCCUUGGGGCUAAUACCCUCGAGGAAGGACAUCACCCACAGAAGAAGCACCGGCUAACUCCGUGCCAGCAGCCGCGGUAAUACGGAGGGUGCGAGCGUUAAUCGGAAUUACUGGGCGUAAAGCGCGCGUAGGCGGUCUGAUAAGCCGGUUGUGAAAGCCCCGGGCUCAACCUGGGAACGGCAUCCGGAACUGUCAGGCUAGAGUGCAGGAGAGGAAGGUAGAAUUCCCGGUGUAGCGGUGAAAUGCGUAGAGAUCGGGAGGAAUACCAGUGGCGAAGGCGGCCUUCUGGACUGACACUGACGCUGAGGUGCGAAAGCGUGGGUAGCAAACAGGAUUAGAUACCCCAGUAGC